UACAUGUGGGGCAAGCGUUGUUCGGAAUUAUUGGGCCUAAAGCAUCCGUAGCCGGUUUUACAAGUCCUGCGUUAAAUCCAGCUGCUUAACAGAUGGGCUGCGGAGGAUACUAUAAGACUAGGAGGCAGGAGAGGCAAGCGGUACUCAGUGGGUAGGGGUAAAAUCCGUUGAUCCAUUGAAGACCACCAGUGGCGAAGGCGGCUUGCCAGAAUGCGCUCGACGGUGAGGGAUGAAAGCUGGGGGAGCAAACCGG
rnacentral:rRNA from 1 species